rnacentral:rRNA from 1 species
AUGAUUGUCAAUUUGUCCAUUUACUUAAAAAUCGGAUCUAGUGUAGCACUCUUGUUUGAGUGUUGCAUUCAGCAAUGAAUUUGAUGAAUACCGUAAUGGUGGGUGACAAUCUGAUCUGUUGGGAGGAGAAGUAUUUCGCAUCUACUCUAGCCAGGUGUCCGUGAAAAGGGAUCUGGAGUCGUGUGAGUUGUCCGUACCGAGAUCUGACACAGGUGCCCCUAGGUGAGUAGCCUAAGGCGUCGCGGCAGAAUCCGGGCGAGGGAAUUCGGCAAAUUAGCCCCGUACCUUCGGUAUAAGGGGUGCCAGCUCUGUAGAGAGCUGGUCGCAGUGACUAGGGAGCUCCGACUGUUUACUAAAAACACAGGUGGCUGCUAGUCCGUAAGGAUGUGUAUAGCCGCUGAAUCCUGCCCAGUGGCGGUAUCUGAAACCCGGUUACAACCGGACGAAGGACCGCUAAACGGCGGGGGUAACUAUGACCCUCUUAAGGUAGCGUAAUACCUUGUCGCUUAAUUGGCGACUUGCACGAAUGGCCUAACGAGAGCUCUACUGUCCCCGCCCGGAGCCCGAUGAAAUUGACUUACUGGCGCACAGUCCAGUACGUCCCAGCCGCAAGCGAAGACCCCGUGGAGCUUUACUGCAACCUGCCGUUGUGGCACGAGUUGUUUUGUGUAGAGUAGACGGGAGACAUUACACAGGUGCGAGCGCUAGCUCGUCGCCGAGUCAUUGAUGAAACACCGUCCUUUUCGAUUCGUCCCACUCACCUCUUCGGAGGAACCCCGGUAGGCGGGCAGUUUGGGUGGGGCGCCACUCCCUCGAAAAUUUAACAAGGGAGCCCAAAGGUCAGCUUAGGUAGGUCAGAAAUCUACCGUUAAGCGCAAGGGCAAAAGCUGGCUUGACGUGGUUUGGCAACACAACAAACCACGAUGCGAAAGCAGGGCCUAGCGAACCAACCAGCGCCGUUAGUAGGUGCGGUUGAUAACAGAAAAGUUACCCCGGGGAUAACUGAGUUGUCUGGAGCAAGAGCCCACAUCGACCUCCAGGCUUGCUACUUCGAUGUCGUCUCUUCCUAUCCUGGGUGUGCAGAAGCACCCAAGGGUGGGGUUGUUCGCCCAUUAAAAGGGAUCGUGAGAUGGGUUUAGACCGUCGUGAGACAGGUUUGUUGCUUUGCGGUUGAGGCGUGUAAGAUGCCUGAUCGGAAGGGUCCUUUAGUACGAGAGGAACGAGGACUCGGAGCCACUAGUUUACCAGUUGUCCGGCAGGGCAAUGCUGGGUAGCCACGCUCCAUGUGGAUAAGAGCUGAAAGCAUCUAAGCUCGAAGUCACCCGAAAGACGAGGCAUCUCAGGGGACUCGUAGAAGACGAGUUUGAUAGACAGCGGGUGUAAGCACCGAGGUUCGCCGAGGUGUUCAGCCCAGCUGCACUAACCCCCCGAGCAUUCAUU